UUAAUAAAACAAUUUUAAAAUAAAUAAAAUAUUUUCUCUUUUUAAAAAAAUGAUAAUAAAAUUUAUUUUUUUUAAGUUAUAUUUAGUAGAGGACUUGAUGAACGUUAAAAUAUUUAGAUAGGUUUUUAAAAAAAAUAGUAAGUAGAAAUUUUUUUGAUAGUAUAUUUUUAUUAAGAAUUAAAAAUUACUUAGAUCAAUCUUUUUAAAAAAAAUUAUUAUUGAUAAGAAAUAAAAGGUAGAAAUAAUUAUAAAUAAAUGGAUUUUGAGGGAAAAAAAUAGAAUAUUUAUUUAUUUUAAUGGGUUUUUUGGUGGGUGGUGGUUGUGUUGUGUUGUUUGUAUUGAGGAAAAAAAAAUUGAAAUCCCUAAACCACAAAGGAAAAAAUUUAUUAUUUUUGCAAAAAUUUAGCUUCAGGCGGAGGGAAUUUUGAUUAGAUAUUAGGUUCUAGAAGUAAUGGACGGUGAGUUAGGAGAGGGAAAAAGAAGAGAAGGGGAAGGGAGGGUGGGAGAAAACCUCAGGGGGGGGAGGUCAGUGAAAUUCACCCAAUUAUUUUUCAACAGUUGGCUGUUUUUCUAUUUUCUGUUCAUAUAGAUGUGAUUUUCCUUAUUAUGUCUCACUUGUAUAUCAAAUUUGUUGGAAAUUAAGUUUGAUAUUUUAAUAAAUAUUAAAAUAAAAGUUGUAUCUUUUUAUUUAAAGUGCCUUUUAGAAUUUAUUUUGAACCAAGAGUUGUCUUUGAAAAGACAUUUCUUUUAUGAAAUGGUGUCUUCAAAUUUAUAAAAGGGACUAUCAUACACAUCAUUUGUAAGGUCAAUUCUAAUUUUAUUUCUAUUAUUCUCCUACCAUAAAUACUAUUUUCAUAUUUCUUAGUAAUUAUGAGAAAGACUUGGUACCCCCGUCUUCCACCGAUCACACUCUAUGAGAUUUAUGGGUUGUAUCUUGGAGUGAUAUUCGACCGUCAGAAUCUGCGCGAAGGGACACGAAUACGAUUUUAGACAAAUACUUAUCAUGAUCUUAUCAGUAUCACACUAGCUAUUUCUUUAUUGGAUAUAAUUAUUAAUUUACGUAAGUUAUGUUUAUUAUUUUUUGUAAAUAAUUAAUAAUUUUUUGGUAUUUUAGAUAAAUGCGUGUGAUAAAUUCUCAAACAAAUUUGUGAUGUAAGAGGGAUGAGUGACUUUUGUAAAUGAUAAAAGAAAACUGUUAUUUAAUAUAUAUCAUUAUAAGGUGACGAAAGUAGCAUUAUUUUUUCGUUUGGUUUUCUUUUAAAAGGGGGGAGACCUCUCGCUACCCGUCAGUGGAAGAAGGGAAAUUUGAUUUUGAAUGUUGGUGGAAACCAUUUUUUCUCGUGAAGUGCGCCGCGUUGAUGGAGUGGAACAUUUUCUCAAAGCUAUGUAAUUACUGUCACCUAUGCAAAUUGCAAUGUUGCCUGAAGUUUGUUGGAUGGUUUGUGCCCUGUGAUCUUGAAUUUUUUUUUUUUUAGAAGGGGGGGGGGGGGGGGGGGGGGGGGGGGGACAAAGAGCAAUGAUUUAAAUAUAUAUUGUAUAAAAAUAAAUCCACUUCACAUACUUAUGCUAUUGUGGCGAUGUUUGGGGUUGAUAAAUUGGAAGAACAUGACUCGUUUUUUGAAUUGUAGUUGUAAGCAAUUGCACUUAGACAUUUUACUUGAUUUUUUUAUCUUUUUUAAAAAAGUACAGUUAUAAAUCUUUUUAACGCAUAGUCUAGUAAGAUUGUGCUUGGAUUACAAUUUGAUGGAGGGAAAGGAGAAGGAAAUAAAAAAAAUUAAAAAAUCAAAUAAUUUAGAUUUAUUUUUAUUUAUUUUUACUUUCUUUUCUCUCAAUAAAUUCCUCCCUAAAUCCUUAAUCUAAAUAUAGCCUUCCCUUUUAAAGUUUUACUAUAUGCUUGCAAGUUUUAGAAACAGUUGCAAUAUUCUGCUGCAUUAUUCCCACUACACUAUCAGUUAGCAAAUCUAUAUGAAUCUAUUGAAAUGUCUCACAUUGUCCUUAUGUCUUCUUAAUGUUGUCUAUAAGGUUCAUAUUUUUUUCUCUUUAAUAUAUGAGUUUUAAGCAGAAAGAUGGGCUGAAUCUGACAAGUAGUAUCAGAGAAAGGUUGGACCUUAAUAAGGAAAAAAAAAUUCUAUCAUUUCAAACCACUCAUUUCAACAUAACUUCAACCAUUUCCUCAAUUUAGCGAAAAUUGCUCAAUUGCUAUUCAAUUUUCAUAUAAAAAAUGCGAUUGUGGUUGCUUGAAUUUAAACUUAUGUUUUUAAGAUUUUAAAGUCCAAACAUUUAUGUAAUAUCCCAACUCUCCUAAUAUUCUUUUUAUACCAUCCCAUAUUUUUUUAAUUUUACGAUAAUUUUUGGGCAAUUUUCUAAAUUGAUUUUUUGACCAGAAUUUUGAACAAAAUGUGCGGGAACACCCAUAUUUUUUCCUAUUCUCUCUUGGAGCAUCCAACCCCUUCUUGUUCAUUCUAUUCCUCAUUCACGAGGUGGGAAUUUAGGAUGAGAUGGUGGCAAAAUUGUCGCAUGGCAUUUAGAGAGAACCCUAAUACCUUUGUUUUCAUGUUUAUAUAUAUAUUGAAAUUGCUUGACAAGAGGAAAAUCGAAAAAAAAUAUUGGCCAAAAAAAAAAACAAUUAAAGAAAAAAUGAGAAAAAAAUAUAUUGUUACGCUUUAUUUGACUUUAAAAAUAAAUUAUAAAAUUAUUUUAGAUAAUUAUAGAUAAAUUUUAAUGUAAUAUUUAAAAUGUAUAUAAUGAAUUAUACAUAUUAUUUUAUUUUUAAGUCAUUUAUAAUAGAAAUUAUUAAAUUUUAUUAAAACUUCAGAAUUCUAAAUAAGAUAAAUGAAAGUAAAAAUUUGGCCAAACUACGGGAACAAAUGAUGCAAUUUACCCGGGAAUAAAGGCAACACAUCUAAACCGUCCAUUCAUUUGAGGAUCGUAAGGUGGCGGAGGCUAGGGUUUCGAACAUUCCGGAUAACCGAGAACAACGCGGUAAUACUCCUAUAAAGCCAUCUCUUUCUUCAUCUCCAAAGGAAUUCCAAAACCCUAGAUUACUGUACCUCUCUCUCUCAGAAGUUAUGGCCGGAAAGGGAGAGGGACCAGCGAUCGGAAUCGAUCUCGGCACGACCUACUCGUGCGUCGGGGUAUGGCGGCACGACCGCGUCGAGAUCAUCGCCAACGACCAAGGCAACCGUACGACGCCGUCCUACGUCGGCUUCACCGACACCGAACGGUUGAUCGGCGCCGCCGCCAAGAAUCAGGUCGCCAUGAACUACAUUAACACUGUAUUCGGUAAGACUCCUCUCUCUUUCUCUCUCUAAUUUUAUUUGGAUCUGUUAGUGGCCAUAAUAUGGUCUACCGGAUCUACUAGUUUG
rnacentral:lncRNA from 1 species